AGAUUUCCACCAGAUGCCUGGAUAACUGAAGGCCCCAGCACUGCCAUAUCAUCCAUGUUCCUGGCUUGUGAAACAUUUCCCAAAGUCCUCAUCAAUUUCUUUUUUGUCCAGUAUGGCAAUUUCCUGUAGUCUUGCUACAAAUAGGAUACAUCAUUGCCUGUCAUCUCACCUCGAAAGACAAUCUCAGGUAUUUGGAACUACAGGAUCAUGCGUGUAUGUAAGAUUAACAUGA